AGCAGCCGCGGUAAUUCCAGCUCCAAUAGCGUAUAUUAAAGUUGUUGCAGUUAAAAAGCUCGUAGUUGAAUUUCGGGAUUGACGUGAUGGUCAUGCCUUAAGGGGUAUGAACUGUUGCAGUUGAUUUCUCACCUUCUGGAGAAACUUGAUGUCCUUUAUUGGGUGUCUUGCGGAUCCAGGACCUUUACCUUGAAAAAAUUAGAGUGUUUAAAGCGGGCAUUUUUGCUCGAAUACAUUAGCAUGGAAUAAUAGAAUAGGACGGCAUGGUUCUAUUUUGUUGGUUUCUAGGAUCACCGUAAUGAUUAAUAGGGAUAGUUGGGGGCAUUAGUAUUCAAUUGUCAGAGGUGAAAUUCUUGGAUUUAUUGAAGACUAACUACUGCGAAAGCAUUUGCCAAGGAUGUUUUCAUUAAUCAAGAACGAGAGUUAGGGGAUCGAAGACGAUCAGAUACCAUCGUAGUCUUAACCAUAAACUAUGCCGACUAGGAAUCAGACGAUGUUAAUUUUUAAUGA
rnacentral:rRNA from 1 species